rnacentral:rRNA from 1 species
UACGGAGGGGGGCUAGCGUUGUUCGGAAUUACUGGGCGUAAAGCGCACGUAGGCGGCUUUGUAAGUUAGAGGUGAAAGCCCAGGGCUUAACUCUGGAAUUGCCUUUAAGACUGCAUCGCUAGAAUCGUGGAGAGGUGAGUGGAAUUCCGAGUGUAGAGGUGAAAUUCGUAGAUAUUCGGAAGAACACCAGUGGCGAAGGCGACUCACUGGCCCGGUACUGACGCUGAGGCACGAAAGCGUGGGGAGCAAACAGGG